GUGAAUUACAGGGUCUGUCAUACCCGGAGUCCAACUUUGAUAGAAAUAAGCAUUCUUGACUGCUAUUUCUAUUUUUUCGGUAUGCGGUCAAGCAACCUGUUUUGCCUGUCCCUUUUUCUUAUAUACAAUAUAUAUACUGAACUUUACAGAAGUUCCUGCCGGUAAUCGGCUAUAUUUACAUACCGAAUUCUACCAGUAAAUAAUUGGGGUUUUUUUAAAAGCCUUUAUAGAAAUUAUUUACUCUUAUCAUUAUAUAUAUAUAUAUAUAUAUAUAUAUAUAUAUAUAUAUAUAUAUAUAUAUAUAUAUAUGCAUAGAUAGAGAGAUAGAGAGAGAGAGAGAGAGAGAGAGACGAAAGGGUUGCUGAAAACUGCCUGGUUUUAAAGGUGUCGCGAAAGGCCUUGUUGGAGUCUUAACCCUCCGACUUCUUUUACAGGGCUUAAAAAAACUGAAGGACCACUGCAGUAAGUGAGUAAAUCGGAGAGUGUAAAAUGUAGAAUAAAAUCAUAAUUCGUUGAUUAUCUUGCAUUUUCUUUUAUCUAAACUCAGGAAUUUUUCGGCCCCCGUGUCUUAGCGAAUAGACAAAAACCCCUUUAAGGCGGUGCACCAGCAUUGUCGCAGUCAAAUGUCCGAAACAAUUAAAAGAAUAAAAGUAUAAAACCAUAUAUACAUAUAUAUAUAUAUAUAUAUAUAUAUAUAUAUAUACGUACAUACAUGCAGAGCUUCCUUACCAACCACAUGGUUCCGGGUUCAGUCCCACUGCGUGGCACCUUUGGUAGCUUUAUGAGUAGAUUUGGUACACGGAAACUAAAAAAAGCGCAUCGUAUAUAUAUAUAUAUAUAUAUAUAACGUAUGUAUGUAUAUAUAACGUAUGUAUGUAUGUAUGUAUUUGUGCGUCUGUGUUUGUCCCACCCCCCACCGAUCUUAGGGUGUUUACAUCAACGUAACAUUUCGGCAAAAAGAGACCGAUAAAAUAAGUACAAAGCUUACAAAGAAUAAGUCCUGGGGGGUCGAUAUUCGUUCGACUAAAAGGCGGUGCUCCAGCCUGGGCGCAGUGAAAUCGCUGAAACAAACACAAGAAUAGAAAACUGUAUAUAUACAUACAUAUAUAUAUAUAUAUAUAUAUAUAUGUAUGUAUGUAUGUAUGUAUGUAUGUAUGUAUGUAUGUAUGUAUGUAUGUAUGUAUGUAUGUAUGUAUAUAUGUAUAUAUGUAUAUAUGAAUGUAUGUAUAUAUGUAUAUAUGUAUGUACGUAUGUAUGUAUGUAUAUAUGUAUAUAUGUAUAUAUGAAUGUAUGUAUAUAUGUAUAUAUGUAUGUACGUAUGUAUGUAUGUAUAUAUGUAUAUAUGUAUAUAUGAAUGUAUGUAUAUAUGUAUGUAUGUAUGUACGUAUGUAUAUAUGUAUAUAUGUAUGUACGUAUGUAUGUAUGUAUAUAUGUAUAUAUGUAUAUAUGAAUGUAUGUAUAUAUGUAUAUAUGUAUGUACGUAUGUAUGUAUGUAUAUAUGUAUAUAUGUAUAUAUGAAUGUAUGUAUAUAUGUAUGUAUGUAUGCAUCCAUGCAUGUAUGUAUGUAUAUAUAUAUGUACGUAUGGAUGCAUCAAUGCUUGUAUGCAUGUAAAUAUGUAUGUAUGCAUGUAUGUAUAAACGUAGGCACAGAGGGCGAGAACACUAUAUGUGACUGCUUUCGGCGUGUGUAUAUACGAUAUUCUGUUGACAGUUGUCUGUGUGUUUAGUCUGUAAUAAACUACAAAGACAUUUCCUCAGAAUGGGUCUAUAUUUGUGACCAUAAAUACUGAGGUGGUAGGCGAGGAGGGAAAGGAGGAGGAAGGAAAAGAAUGAGAGAGGAAUGAAAUCGGGGUGGGUGGGGCUGUGUGAUUGUGUGUCUUGGGUGUGUGUUCAGUCGUGUUUAUAUUAUAAAUGUAUUUGAAUAUGUAAAUGAGGGGAGGGCGUUACCUUCGUGGUUGCCGUGUUUCUUAAUAUGGUUACACAUAUAAACAUAUAUACAUGUGUGACUGUGUGUGUGUAUGUCUGUGUAUUAUAUAUAUAUAUAUAUAUAUAUAUAUACACACAUAUAUACGUUCGUAUAUACAUAUGCUGGCGCGGGCGUGGCUGAGUGGUAAGAAGGUUGUUUGCCAACUACAUGGUUUCUGGUUCAGUCCCACUGCGUGGCAAGUGUCUGCUACUUAUUGCCUUGCGCCGACCAAAGACUUGUGAGUGGAUUUGGCAGACGGAAACUGAAAGAAGCCCCUCGUAUAUAUGUGUUAUUUGUUGUGUGUGUGUGUCUUUGUAUAUGUGUCAGUCCUGUACCACCGCUUGACAACCGGUGUUGGUGUGUUUAUAUACUUAUACAUAGAUAGAUAGAUAGACACAUAUGUAUAUAAAUAUAUACAUUAUGUGUGUAUAUAUAUGUAUAUAUAUAUAUAUAUAUACAUAUAUAUAUGUAUGUAUAUAUAUAUGUAUAUAUAGAUAGAUGAUAUUUGUAGGUAUAUUUGUGUAUAUAUAUAGA
rnacentral:lncRNA from 1 species